UUCCAGACGACGAGUCCCAAAUAGGACGAAACGCACGUCAAACUGGAU
rnacentral:hammerhead_ribozyme from 1 species